UCCAUGAUGGCCGAGAGAUACAGGCAUCGAGCUUUUAACUCGAUUACAGUUAUUAUACUUCAGGAU
rnacentral:tRNA from 1 species